rnacentral:rRNA from 1 species
CCUACGGGAGGCAGCAGUGGGGGAUAUUGCACAAUGGGGGGAACCCUGAUGCAGCGACGCCGCGUGGGUGAAGGAGCGUUUCGGCGCGUAAAGCCCUUUCGGCAGGGAAGAAGGAGGAAGGUACCUGACCAAGAAGCCCCGGCUAACUACGUGCCAGGAGCCGCGGUAAUACGUAGGGGGCAAGCGUUAUCCGGAUUUACUGGGUGUAAAGGGGGUGCAGACGGGAGCGCAAGCCAGGAGUGAAAGCCCGGGGCACAACCCCGGGACUGCUCUUGGAACUGGGCGGCUGGAGUGCAGGAGGGGCAGGCGGAAUUCCUGGUGUAGCGGUGAAAUGCGUAGAUAUCAGGAGGAACACCGGUGGCGAAGGCGGCCUGCUGGACUGCGACUGACGUUGAGGCCCGAAAGCGUGGGGAGCAAACAGGAUUAGAUACCCUAGUAGUC